rnacentral:rRNA from 1 species
GAGCUCAAAUUUGUAAUCUGGCACCUUCGGUGUCCGAGUUGUAAUCUCGAGAAGUGUUUUCCGCGCCGGACCGCAUACAAGUCUGUUGGAAUACAGCGUCAUAGUGGUGAGAACCCCGUAACUGAUGCGGAUGCCCGGUGCUUUGUGAUACACUUUCGAAGAGUCGAGUUGUUUGGGAAUGCAGCUCAAAUUGGGUGGUAAAUUCCAUCUAAAGCUAAAUAUUGGCGAGAGACCGAUAGCGAACAAGUACCGUGAGGGAAAGAUGAAAAGCACUUUGGAAAGAGAGUUAACAGUACGUGAAAUUGUUGGAAGGGAAACGCUUGAAGUCAGACUUGCUAUUUGGAAUUCAGCCGCAAGGUGUACUUUUCAAUUCGCAGGCCAGCAUCAGUUUUCGGGGGUGGAAAAGGGUAGAGAGAAGGUAGCAAUUUCGGUUGUGUUAUAGCUCUUUGCUGGAUUCAUCCUUGGGGACUGAGGAACGCAGCACGCUUUUUGCAAGGUUUUCGAGCUUUUCGUGCUUAGGAUGCUGGUGGAAUGGCUUUAAACGACCCGUCUUG